GUGAGCAGGUCAGCCCCGCGCUGGUCAGCUCUUCACUGACUCCCUCCACUGCAGAUCUGGAAGUGUGGGUGCUGUACUCAGACAGGAAUGUCAUCAAGCCGAAGAGCACCUUCUACUGGAGUUCAGAUGAGGUCAGGAAGUGGCUAAGAAGAGAUCCAUGAAGAUUAACAUUCAGUGCUCAAUUUCUGAAGGAAACAGGGAGUGAAAGGCCGUGGAAGAAAACAGGGCUGCCACGAACAUGCUCUUGGCUGUUUGAAAAGAUCCAGCGCAGCUUGAACUUCAAAAAUAACUCCAUUCACUAUGGUUGCAGUUGGGCUUGGGGAAUUUCUCACAAUCAAAAGCAGCUGCUUCAUCUCAUUUAGCCAUUAGGCUGAGCUCCACAGGCUCGCUGCAGGAUCUUAGAGCCUACAAGGCCCUGCUAAGAGUAGCCGCGUUUUCCAGCAUGCAGUAGAUCAGCGAGUGUUUACAUUUGUGUUUGGAAUGCUCAUGAGUCCUUUGGGGCAAAGACUGAGUCAUUAAUCAGAGCUUUCUAUGAACGUAUUGCUGCCCAAGCCUCUGUGAAUGUGAGUACGGCCUUGUCCCCUGAGUGACGCUGAAAGAGAGUGAAGCACAUGUGCUCCAUAGGACUGCCACGGCCACCCCUCUCAUUCACUUUUCCAUUCAGCGCUGAGACUAAGUUUAACUCAUUUUUCUUUUGUUGUGAAAAGAGAAUGCACACAAAAAUUCAAAUGUUACCAAAUCGAUAUCAGGUAAGAGACAAAAUUUCCCCUCUCUGGUACUCAUAUUCCCAGUCCAUCCUCUCUGAGGUUAUAACCUCUGAUUGUGCCAGGCAUCAUUCUAGAAUGUCUGAGCAUAUGCAAAUGAGUGUGCAUGAUGUACAUUAUAUAUAUAUAUAUUUUAGAAACAGAGUCUUGCUCUGUCGCCCAAGCUGGAGUGCGGUGGUGUGAUCUCGGCUCACUGCAAGCUCCACCUCCCGGGUUCACCCACCAUUCUCCUGCCUCAGCCUCCCAAGUAGCUGGGACUACAGGCGCCCGCCACCAUGCCCAGCUAAUUUUUGUAUUUUUAGUAGAGACAGGGUUUCACCGCGUUAGCCAGGAUGGUCUCGAUGUCCUGACCUCAUGAUCCUCCCGCCUCGGCCUCCCAAAGUGCUGGGAUUACAGGCAUGAGCCACCGCGCCUGGCCAUGAUGUAUAUAUUUAAUAUAUGUGUGUGCAUGUAUGUAAAUGUGAGCGUGUACAUAUGUACAUCCAUACAUACAGAUAU
rnacentral:lncRNA from 1 species